AAAUAGCCAGUGGGCCAGAGCCCACUUCCGGAACUAUUCCCGGCCUUUCAAACCCGGCAGAGACCGGGACACCCUUUCCCACGCCACCCCAGACCCGGGUUGACCUGUUUCCCGUGGGAGCCCCUCCUUGAGUGAAGUAUGGUAAAGUCGGUCCCUCCUCCCGACCAAUGGAGGGCGCAAGAGUGCGUAGCGCGAAGACUGGGAAAACUGUUGGGUACGGAAGUGAUGUCAGGCACCGGAAGUGCACGAGUUUGACGGACUGGGCUGGUCCUAUCAUGCUUGUGUUUCAGAAGCAUACAAGGCUUCCUACUUCAGAAUUGGCUUUCUCUUUCAAGGCCCUCAAUGAGUCUUCUGCAUUCAGCUCCUUGAGGACUGAGGGACUCAACUCUGCAUCACAGUAUCAACCACAAGGCCCCAGAGGAAGGAUACCGAGGGAGACCCCAAGAACACCCCACGCCUGGCUGACCAGGCCGCUUGCGCUGCAGAGGAGGCGGACACAUCUGGAAGGGACAGGAUUUAUGUUGCAUACUUGAACUACAAAGUGGUGUUACGAGCCUGUUGUCCCAGUUAUGGAAGCUGAGGUAGGAGGAUGACUUGAGAACAAGAGUUUGAGGCCAACCUGGACAACACAGUGAUACCUCAUCUCAAAGAAGGAAGAAAGAAAGAAUGGAAAGGAAGAAGGAAGGUAAGUUGAUGUAGCCAGGUGCAGCUGUACACAUUUCUAGUCUCAGCUACUCAGGAGAUUGGAGGCAGGAGGACUGCUUGAGCCCAUGAGUUCAAAACUUGCCUGGGCAAUAUGGAGAAAACUCAUCUCAAAAAAUAAGAUGAAUUCAAUUCUAACAUAUACUAAGUGCUUACUGUUUGCCAGGUUCUAUACUGGGAAAACAAGUAUGAAUAAUUUCUGCCUUCAGGAGUCUCACAGUAUAAUGGAUGAUUCAUUCAGUCAUAAUUCAUUCAAUAAAAGUUAUGCACCUACUGUGUGCCAGGUGCUGAAAAUUCAGAGGAAACAAUUGAACAAGCUAACUAUCUUCAUAAAGCCUACCUGCUAGUGUAGAAAACAGACCAAUGGUAAGUAAACAAAAACAAGAUAAUUAGAGACAUUAUACAGAAAAUAAACAGGGUGACCAAAUUAUCUGAUGGUUGGAGGCCUGCUUUAGAAAGGGUAAUGAGGAAAAGACCUCCUGAAGAGGUGACAUCUGAGAUGAGACAUAAAGGGAGAAAGUAAGACAGUCAUCUCAGGAAUAAGUAAAUAUCAUUCUAAGCAGAACAAGUGUAAAAGCCCUGAGGUCAGAAAGAGCUCAGAUGUUCCAGGUACAGAAAAGAGGUCAAUGGGGUGUAUCAGGUGAGCGAGAGGGAAGAGUGGGGAGAGUCAUCUAGAAGGAUGGGCAGGAGCCUCACUAACUAGGGUGAACAGUCAGAAUUUUAUUUGCAGAGUAAUGGGAAGCCAUGGAAGGCUUUAAGCCAAGAAGGAAUAUGAUCUUUGGAUGUUUAAAAGAUCAUUUUGUCUGCAUUGUGGAGAAUGGUUUGUAAGAUGGCAGGAAGAAGGGCCAGAAGAGCAAUUAGUGGUUAUCUGAUGGUCCAGGCAGGUGGAGUUAGUGAUUUGCAUUUAGGAUGGUGUCAGAGAAAGAAUGAAAUGAACUCAAAAUGUAUUUUGAAACUAGACUGAAGAACUGCAGGUGGAUUCCCUGUGGGAAGAGGAAAAUCAAGAAAAAUGCCAACUUUUUAAAUUUAAACAAUUAGCUAGUGGAAGUGCUGUUUACUCAGAGGAGUUUUGGUUUGGAAAUCAAGAAUUCAGUUCUGAUCAGAUUAGAUCCGAGAUGUGGGAUAUCAGGAGAAACGUCUUGUGGGUAGCUAGAUGCCACAGUCUGGCUGGGCACAAAUAACUGUGCUGCCCUGAAGUACUUGUAGGUUCAAAACAGCAACUCUUUAUGGCCGAACUCCACCAGCACACUCCACACAUACUCCCUGGGAACUCUCCCUCUUCUCCCAGGCUCUGCAUACGCGCACUCCCUCGGAACCCCAGGAACUCCCAAGUAUCGCCCCGAGCUGCCAGUAAAGGUCUAAUAUACAAUUGAAUAUGCAGCUUAACAUAACUGACAUCAUCUCAAUGGCUCCCUGGCAUCACCUCUCAACCACUCCCUUCUGGCAAAAUGCCAUGCAUCAUCCGGACUCAGCCUUGGCCCUCAAAGCUAGAUAGUCAGGUCUGGAGCCCGGGUGUGUGAUCCAGAUUAGAGAUAUAAAUUUUGGAGUGACAAGAGAAGGAAUUAUAUUGAAAGCCUCCAUCUGGACAUGUUUGCCUAAGAAGUGCAUGUAGACAAGGAAGAGGACCCAAGACUGAGGCCUGAGAGAGAAUUGAGAGAGUAGGCUGUGGAAGAAGUAAGUACCAGAGAGACAAGGACAGGGCAGAGCCCAGGACUUUGCCACAGAAGCCCAGAGAGAGUCAGGUGUGAAACCAGAGGAGGAUGGUCUGCUGAGGACAGAAGGGCCACAUGGAAGACCUAGCAAUGCGGAUGUGACUCUCAAAAGCAUCCUGUGUAGAGUGCUGAACAGACACUAGAUGGAAGAAGUUUGGAGGGUGAGUGGGAGCUGAGUGGAGAGACAGCGAAUGCAGGCCAUGUGGUAGAGAAGGUCGGACAUGAAGGGCAGCAGCCACCUUACAAAGUCUCUGGAAGAAGGGAAAUGUAUGGCCAAUAAAUAUACAAAGAGAUGUCCGGCUUCCUUAGUGAUGGGGGGGGAUGCAAAUUAAGACCAAUGUGAUACUAUUUUAUAGAGUUCCAUUGGGCAAACAUUUGAAAUCUGAUGAUAACAAGAUACCAAGUGUUGGGGGAAUGUGGAUCCACCAGUCUCUCUUACACAGAUGAUGGGAUUGUCCAUUAAUACAACCACUUUGGAAAACAGUUCCACACUGUCUCAUGAAAUUAGCAUUCACAUACCUUAUCCCCUGCCUUUUCACUCCUUGAUAAUGUGACACAGCUAUGUGCAAGAAUUCAUAGCAUUCACAGAGGCAAAAACCUAGGAAAAGUUCAAAUGCCUCAAGAGAACAGAUGAAUAAUCUGUGGCAUUUCCACCAUCAGUGAAUGCUGUGUAGCAGAGAAAUGGAUGGACUCCAGAUCUGUGCUCAGUGUUGAUGACUCCUGAACUGUGAUAUGAAGGGAGAAAAGGCCCAGGAAUGUUGCAUACAUCAUAAUGCCAUUUUUAUAAAGUAAAAAACAAGUGUAAUAAAUUUUAAAUACUUUUCAGGAAUAGAUUUGUAUGUAAUGAAACUAUACUUAAGAAAGCAGGAGACUGGUAAUGCAUGAGUCAGAUAGUGUUACUUUGCAUAGGAGGUGACAAAGGGAUAAGGCUGUAAAAUGAUAAGGAUGCUUAUUACACUCAAGGAAACAAAGACAAGGCCUCCUAUGAAGUAUUUUUAUUCAAAAAACUUGGAAUCUAUCUAACUAUGAAAUGUAAAUAGUUACAUUUAAAUUUAAAAAAAAAAAAAA